CUCGAGACACCAGAGAUUAGUGCAUCCUGCGGCGUGUGUGUGUUGUGCGUGUGUGUUCGUCUGUAUAGAGCACCCCAGAGCGUGAUCGCAUGUAUCACAUAAUAUCGUGUUGCGUCGUGGUGUGUUGCCUCCAGACGUCCUGCCGGGUGGAGAGAGUAAAUUUGUGAGUGCCUGGCAGACAACAUCUCUGGGCAAGUGUGUGCGACGUCCCCGGCAAGGUGCCUCGCUUCGCCCAUACAGUGCAAUCCAUCAUGGCCUCCACAAGAACCACAGUGUCUCUUCUUCCACGUCUUCGCUUCCUUACAUUUCCGCUCCGUCAAGCUUUCGCGUUCUCGCCUCCUUAUGCUCCCCACGUCCUCGGUCUCGUAUGCUCCACGUCCCUGCUCCCUCAUGCUCACACGUCCUGCAGCUCAUCAAGUCUGCAAGUCCUCGCUCCUUCAUGCUCCAGGUCCAAGCCGUUCUCUUACGCUCCACUGCUUCACAGCCUCUUAACAUUCACCUUCUCGCGAGGAAAGUUCGGAGGUGUGGCGUUGUCUUUCCUUCCAGCGAUGACACGCGGUGUUUCGUCUUCAUUCACCAGUGAGGCUGAGGGAUGAGGCAUCGAUCCACGUCACUCCAGCAGACUUUCAAGAUCUUAGACGUCCUUUGCAAUCACUUAAGAAAACGUGACAUCUGAUGGAGUCUUAGCAGAUCAGAGGACUUCAGGUUGAGGGGAAAACUUAUGUAAGCAAAGUGCACGUGUGUGGCGUUUCUCAAAUGCUGACCUUCACUGUAUUUCAGAAAGCCUUUGGAAUUUUUUACAAAGCCGAAAUUAAACUGCACUGGAAAGUUUUCCUAAAUAUUCGAUUUCUAUUUGUGUUGAGUGUCUUUCAGAAAUAUGAUCCAGGUUUGUAGCCUCGAGCCGAGGAGAACCCACGGCAAUUAGAGGGAGUACCCUGACCGCCCAUCUUACUUAAAGGAUGUAGUGACAGUUUUUAAUAGUGAAAAUUAAAUUAGCAUUGCAUGAUCAUAAUGGAAUCGAGGGAGGAGUGCAAUUACUUAGUAGCCAGCAAAAUAUGCAAAAUGAUAACUAGUGUAGACUUCAGUGGAAAUAUAGCUUAAUUUGUUUGUGUGUAAUAUUUAUGUACUUUUAAUUUGAGAAUAAAAUAUGGUGCGCAUAAUUAAUUUUCUUGUGUAAUUUUCUUGUGUAACGUGUGUGUGUGCUUUUAAUGUGAAAAUGAAAUAUGAAUUGUUACUGUGUUAUUAAAGUAAUGUAGUUCUUUUUUUUUUUUUUCUUUUUUUUUUAUAUAUCUUCGUGUUUAAUAAUAUGG